CACGGAGUUAGCCGAUCCUUAUUCUUCAGGUACAUUCAGCUUCCUACACGUAGAAAGGUUUAUUCCCUGACAAAAGCAGUUUACAACCCAUAGGGCAGUCAUCCUGCACGCGGCAUGGCUGGUUCAGAGUUCCCUCCAUUGACCAAUAUUCCUUACUGCUGCCUCCCGUAGGAGUCUGGUCCGUGUCUCAGUACCAGUGUGGGGGAUUCUCCUCUCAGAGCCCCUAGACAUCGUAGCCUUGGUGGGCCGUUACCCCUCCAACUAGCUAAUGUCACGCGAGCCCAUCCAUAUCCUAUAAAUAUUUGAUCAUCAACCGAUGCCGGCCGAUGAUGUUAUGCGGUGUUAAUCUCUCUUUCGAGAGGCUAUCCCCCUGAUAUGGGUAGGUUGCUCACGCGUUACGCACCCGUGCGCCACUCUCAUCAGUUCGUAGCAAGCUACUCCCUGAAUCCCGUCCGACUUGCAUGUAUUAGGCCUGCCGCUAGCGU
rnacentral:rRNA from 1 species